UUGAUGCCAGGAAUGACUUUUGCAUGCGCUUAUUUKCRUGCAUGGAASAAUGCUCCCGCGGUUAAGUGCGGAUCCGCUUCUGGUAAGCRGAMCUGAUAAUGAGGGAUGAACCUACACAUACGUGAUAUKGGGUGCCUAAAUGACAGCUAUUUCUCGAAACCRUUGGAAAGGUGUUGCUUGCUGAAGACAGCASGACGGUGGUCAUGGAASUUGACCUCCGCUAAGGAGKGUGUAACAACUCAUCCUGCCGAAGCGAGUAACCCUGAAAAUGGAUGGCUCUAUAGCUCUCUCCCGAUGCACGAUCGUUAACGGCACGAGAGAUAUUGUGUCUCAAARCCUUAMCKAGUAGAAUGRCSUGCUGGUAAGCGUUGAAGGCCUUUGCGUGASCUUGRCCCSAGCUGCCAGUAAUGCAGAUCUUGGUGGUAGUAGCAAGUACUCUGGUGAAUAACCUUGAGCUGUGAGGUUGAUAAGGGUUCCAUGUCAACAGCGUUUGAACAUGGGUAAGCCGGUCCUAAGCUACCUUUAUGUCUUGAAGGUGACGGUUUAUGCGAGAGCGUACGGAGUACAAGGUUUUCUGAGUCUUCUGACAAAUGAUCCACUUGAUCGGUCGCAACAGUGUGCCAGUCAAUAACGAAAGGACUUUGCGAAGCUAUCUGCGCCGCAUUGUCACGAAUAGUGGGCUGUGAAGCUUUUGUAACUACAAGUGUAUAGAACUGCUGGAAGUUGGCUCUAACCGAAAUUUUGGAAACGUUGCUUUAGCGUAGCCUGGCGAAAGGGAAAUGUGAACUCAGCUCAUAUGCCUCUCCUGGCACCCUGAAACGGCUUGCCGUGACACGGACCUAGCGAUAGACGCCAGGCCAGUCGUUGUCAUAAGUAGCUCAGCGGGGAGAUUUCUUCUCUCUUUGAUAAGGCUCGUAGCUYYGAAAACACCUCGCGUGGCGGAAGAGCGAUGCCUUGUAUAGCAGAGUACUCUGUUCCCUCGAGUAGUCUGACGCUACUUGUGAUCCGUGAAAAGGUGGCCGAGGGGAUACMAAMCAAAGGYGUUUGCGAUUCGUUCAAGUAGCGAGGGYGCUCWGCCGGCUCGCAWGGCGAUAACCUGKWAWCGCGUCUSKGAAGUACCKCAAGCGAAAYGCUKCGCAUAGAGUUSCUCYUGUGAAAAGAAUUSCUCAAUACACUCUACUMGAGUGUUANCCACGGAGUGACUGUACCCAUUCCGCAUCCAGUCU
rnacentral:rRNA from 1 species